rnacentral:RNase_P_RNA from 1 species
CAGGUGGGAUGACCUGUCGCGGCCGCAUUGCGGCUGAGGAAAGUCCGGACAGGAUAGAGCGACUCGCUGUGGAAAGCACAGAUGGGAGUAAUCUUAUGGAUGCCGUAACAGAAAACAGACCGCCCUGCAAGGGGUAAGGGUGAAACCGCGAGGCAAGAGCUCACGACGCCGUAUGGCGACAUAUGGCGGUGACGGCACCGAGUCCUGCAAGACCAUGUAUACCGGAGAGUCCGCAAGGACAAAAGGGCUGCUCGCUCUUUCCGGGGGGUAGGUUGCGAAGAUAAAUGACGGGAUAAAACAGAAACCGGCUUACGGUCUCACCUGACAC